GGAUCAGGUGGAUCCUGGCUGCGUCUCAAUUCGCAGGCUGCGUACUUCCGAGGACGCAGCCUACCUAGCCUCCGGAGGACCCAGACUUGGUAGGCUGCUCCGGAGGAUCCUCAGCCGUUGGUAAAUGGGACGGUCUAGCCUUUGGAGCACUUCCUGGUUGCGACACGAUGUCAUCACGUUUACCCCAAACACAGCGCGAAACAAAAUCCGACAGCUCGAGAAAUACGGAAAGAAACAACAAAAAAAUAGAUAUGGACAUUUUUAUUUUUUUUAUUUACUUGUUAUUGGAGGAGGAGAGUCGGCUUUGACGGCUUCGGCGGCAGCAAAACCUGCGACGGAUUUUUCUCAGGCUGGCAGAGCGCAGUGGAGAGGUAAGAUCUACCUGCUAUUAUUCUAACCCACAGGGCCCUGCUAACGAUCAGAAUAUACCAGCUAUUAAAUAAACGCUUGUCAGCAGAUUGAUGAAUAGGUUUAGAUAUCAAAUUUUAUAUUUAUUUGUAAGUUUGUGAUUUAUUAGUUUGUAACUUUAGUAAUUUGAAUUGAAUAGUUA